rnacentral:rRNA from 1 species
UACGAAGGGUGCAAGCGUUAAUCGGAUUUACUGGGCGUAAAGCGUGCGCAGGCGGUUUUGUAAGCCGGAUGUGAAAUCCCCCGGGCUUAACCUGGGAAUGGCAUUCGGGACUGCAAGGCUAGAGUCCGGAAGAGGAGAGUGGAAUUCCUGGUGUAGCGGUGAAAUGCGCAGAUAUCAGGAAGAACACCCGUGGCGAAGGCGGCUCUCUGGGACGGUACUGACGCUGAGACGCGAAAGCGUGGGGAGCGAACAGG